GGCCUCCCUCUGUGGGGUGAUUGAUCACGGGGCCCCCAGAUCGAUCGCCCAGCAGAGGGAGGCC
rnacentral:pre_miRNA from 1 species